rnacentral:lncRNA from 1 species
GAGAAUGAAUAAUUUUUGUCUAUAAUUCAUGAAAUAUAUGAAAGAUUAGAUUUAAGUAUUAAUUAAUUUUAGAUUAGAUCUAAAUUAAUUAGACUUAAAUAGAUCCAAAAUCUAAGUUAGACUUGGUAUAAAAGUCCUAAAGAGAUUAGGAUUGACAACCUUUUGAAAUUAUUUUGAACUGGCUUCGAAUCGGAUUCGAAUUGGACCUAUUUUGGAUGGAUUCUCAGGUUAAUAAAAUCAAAUCCUCUAAAUUAUUAGGUCCAUAAAGUGAUAAAGUUAUAAGAUAACUUGGUUAUUGCUUCCCAUUAAGGUGUGUGAUAAUGAGUCCAAUAUUCUAAAUAGG